AUGCUGCUGCUGAUGCAUAGAAAACAUGUAGUGCCGACAGGUGAACUAAGAAAGGAAGACUUGCUCCAAAAGGUUGUAAUGCCAUUUACUAUGCAGAUGAUUCCGGCAACUUCUCAAACAAGUCAACAUUAUCGUUCACACGGUAGAUGGUUGGAGAAUUUGCAGAGCGCCAAUGACAGCCUCUCUCAUCCUGGUGUCAUGGUGCCGGUCCCUGACGCUGACGUACUAAUCCUCGUCGCUGGUGCCUCCGACACGGCCUCCCUCAUCAACGUGACCAAGUUUGAGAUGUUGCAUAAGCAUGCAGCUUCCCUUCUGAAGGAGAAGCAGGAGCUGCUCCGUGACACCCUCCUCAUAUAG
rnacentral:rRNA from 1 species